rnacentral:rRNA from 1 species
UACGGAGGGUGCGAGCGUUGUCCGGAAUCAUUGGGCGUAAAGGGCGCGUAGGUGGCCCGGUCAGUUCGUGGUGAAAGCGCGGGGCUCAACCCUGCGUCGGCCGUGAAUACUGCCGCGGCUGGAGCACUGUAGAGGCAGGCGGAAUUCCGGGUGUAGCGGUGGAAUGCGUAGAGAUCCGGAAGAACACCGGUGGCGAAGGCGGCCUGCUGGGCAGUUGCUGACACUGAGGCGCGACAGCGUGGGGAGCAAACAGG